rnacentral:rRNA from 1 species
CAUUGGAGGUUGUUCCCUUGAGGAGUGGCUUCCGGAGCUAACGCGUUAAAUCGACCGCCUGGGGAGUACGGCCGCAAGGUUAAAACUCAAAUGAAUUGACGGGGGCCCGCACAAGCGGUGGAGCAUGUGGUUUAAUUCGAUGCAACGCGAAGAACCUUACCUACUCUUGACAUCCAGAGAAUUUAGCAGAGAUGCUUUAGUGCCUUCGGGAACUCUGAGACAGGUGCUGCAUGGCUGUCGUCAGCUCGUGUUGUGAAAUGUUGGGUUAAGUCCCGCAACGAGCGCAACCCUUAUCCUUUGUUGCCAGCACAUUAUGGUGGGAACUCAAAGGAGACUGCCGGUGAUAAACCGGAGGAAGGUGGGGAUGACGUCAAGUCAUCAUGGCCCUUACGAGUAGGGCUACACACGUGCUACAAUGGCGUAUACAAAGAGAAGCGACCUCGCGAGAGCAAGCGGAACUCAUAAAGUACGUCGUAGUCCGGAUUGGAGUCUGCAACUCGACUCCAUGAAGUCGGAAUCGCUAGUAAUCGUAGAUCAGAAUGCUACGGUGAAUACGUUCCCGGGCCUUGUACACACCGCCCGUCACACCAUGGGAGUGGGUUGCAAAAGAAGUAGGUAGCUUAACCUUCGGGAGGGCGCUUACCACUUUGUGAUUCAUGACUGGGGUGAAGUCGUAACAAGGUAACCA